AGUGAACGCUGGCGGUAGGCCUAACACAUGCAAGUCGAACGGCAGCACAGUAAGAGCUUGCUCUUACGGGUGGCGAGUUGCGGACGGGUGAGGAAUACAUCGGAAUCUACUUUUUCGUGGGGGAUAACGUAGGGAAACUUACGCUAAUACCGCAUACGACCUACGGGUGAAAGCAGGGGAUCUUCGGACCUUGCGCGAUUGAAUGAGCCGAUGUCGGAUUAGCUAGUUGGCGGGGUAAAGGCCCACCAAGGCGACGAUCCGUAGCUGGUCUGAGAGGAUGAUCAGCCACACUGGAACUGAGACACGGUCCAGACUCCUACGGGAGGCAGCAGUCGGGAAUAUUGGACAAUGGGCGCAAGCCUGAUCCAGACAUACCGCGUGGGUGAAGAAGGCAUUCGGGUUGUAAAGCACUUUUGUUGGGAAAGAAAAGAAGCAGGUUAAUACCCCGCUGUUCUGACGGUACACAAAGAAUAAGCACCGGCUAACUUCGUG
rnacentral:rRNA from 1 species